UACGUAGGGUGCAAGCGUUGUCCGGAAUUAUUGGGCGUAAAGAGCUCGUAGUCGGUCUGUCGCGUCGGCUGUGAAAACCUGGGGCUCAACUCCGGGCCUGCAGCCGAUACGGGCAGACUAGAAUUCGGUAGGGGAGACUGGAAUUCCUGGUGUAGCGGUGAAAUGCGCAGAUAUCAGGAGGAACACCGGUGGCGAAGGCGGGUCUCUGGGCCGAUAUUGACGCUGAGGAGCGAAAGCGUGGGGAGCGAACAGG
rnacentral:rRNA from 1 species